CAUUCCUAAUUGAGGGUGUGGGGUCCAAGGAAGAAAUCUGAUUGACUUGUCUAGAAAGGUCUUCUACGAACAGCCUUUUCUCCCACCAUGGACAAAAGAAUGGGCAGUCUGAUUGGCUAGAGCUGUGUCUGUCAAGUCCUACCUGGAACAGGAAAUGAAGGACAUAUUUCUAAAAGGACAAAGUGAAAGUAAGGCAGACAAGGGAGAUGAGAAGAACAGCGUCAGACACCUCCUCCAAGAAGCCUUUUCCAGCAGCCGUAUUUGACUCCUAACCCCCGUGUUUAUCUUCUCUAUAGCGCACCGCAUGUAUAUUACCAUCUGUCUCCUCCUGGCAGCUUUGAAGAUCAUGGCUCUUGCCUGAUGAGUACACCCCGUCCCCAACUGCUGUGACCACACCCUGGAUCUGGAUCUCUACUUGGAUCUUCCAUCAGGAUCCCCUCUCUUCACAGCCACAGCAAUUCUUAUAUCUCUUCUCAGACUCAACGUCUCUGUGAAAGCUCCCCAGUGAUCAUGCCUCGUGUUUUAGUCAACUGUCUGCCACUAUGACAAAAUGGCAGAGGUCAUCAAUCUAUAAAUAGGCAAGAUUUUGGCUUCUGGUUGGAUCCACAGGUUUCCUGGAUGCCUGAUCAUCAUUUUGCAUCUGCAGCAGCACAGUUGAUCAUGGGGGGAAACUUGUGAUUGGAGGCAACCUGUCCUUUUCACAUUAGCCAGGAAACAGAGAGACAGGAAGAAGUCAGAGUCCAGUAUCUCUUAUAAAGAUACUCCUCCAAAGACUUAACUUCUUUCUAGACCCCACUCUUAAAGCUCCCACCUCCUCUAAAUAGCAUCAUAGGUGAGUGACCAAGCCUUUACCAUGGGGCCGUUGGGGCCAUUUUUCUAAUUUAAAUGAUAAGACCCAGGGACCCAUAUGGCUCUUUGUACAAAUCACUCCAAUGACAGUUCUAAACACAUGCUUUUGCAUUCAGUUCUUGUUCUUCCUGCAGAAUCCUGGCAACUCCAGUGGGAAUUUUCUCCGGCCCAGGCACUGUGCUAGGCUCAGGGCCCACAACAUUUUCCAAGCCACAAUCCUAUCUGUAUACUGGCUUACCUGUCUUAUGUUGCAGAUGCUCAUUUGAUCCCAAUGAACUUUGUGAUGCGA